AAUGAACGUUGGCGGCGUGGAUUAGGCAUGCAAGUCGUACGCUUUAUGUAGCAAUACAUGAAGAGUGGCGUAAGGGAGAGUAAUGCAUGGUUAGCUACCCUCGGGACUGGGAUAGCGGCGGGAAACUGCCGGUAAUACCAGAUGAUAUCUUCGGAUCAAACGUGUAAACCGGCCCGAGGAGGUGACCAUGUCCUAUCAGCUAGUUGGCGGUGUAACGGACCACCAAGGCUAAGACGGGUAUGGGGCGUGAGAGCGUGCCCCCACUCACUGGGACUGAGACACUGCCCAGACACCUACGGGUGGCUGCAGUCGAGAAUCUUCGGCAAUGGGCGCAAGCCUGACCGAGCGACGCCGCGUGCGGGAUGAAGGCCUUCGGGUUGUAAACCGCUGUCGUAGGGGAGGAAGGUCUGGUGUAUAGCCAGGCUUGACCGAUCCUAGGAGGAAGGGCCGGCUAAUCUCGUGCCAGCAGCCGCC
rnacentral:rRNA from 1 species